AGGCGCGACGAGCCUUUAAGCCCAGCCCCACGCAGCGGGGACCUGCCCUUUCUCUCAGCCUUCCUGUGAUGUCGCGGGAGCGGCCGGUUCGCGCAGGCGCAGUUGGUGGACCUGGUCGCGCUGUGCCGGGUGUGACACUACGGUAGGUGUAGGUUAGGAUGUGUCUUCUGGUCGUGGUCUACUAGUUGGGGCCGAGGGAAGAAGAUGACGAUUCCAAUUUCAGUAGCCACUCUCUAGGCUUAUGAACUGAAAGACCAAGGAGCACAAUUUCCGAGUUUCAAAGAUACUUUCAAACUGAAAGGAACUGUUCGCCAGCUGCUCGCGAAGUGGCCCAUGUGACCCCUAGUGAACGGUCUAAACUUCCGCUAGAUGCUUUGGGAAUUCGUAAAGCGACUGCGUGCGCGGCAGCCAAGCCACAGCUUUACAGGGUUCGCCUUCUGUGUGGGAACGCAGCUUUUCCCGAGAAAUUGGGUUAGGGAUUAAAGAGAAGAACUGCAUCCUUUUUACUGCCCUUUUUCCACGUCUGUCCUGGGCUUAGGGCCCUCCUCAGAGGCCAGAGGGGUAGGCGAGUCCGGGGCGGUAGGGGGCUGCGUCCGGAAGUCCAGGCUGCGUUCUGUCCACCCUGCCCACCCUUAGGGGGCAGGACAGGAAUAAGGUCACCUCACCAAAGAGGCCCAUCAACAUGGAAGAAUAUUUCAGUGAAUCUUGACUCACCAAGCUCAGUGACUUUUCAUUGAAAAGGGUGAGAAUUAUUAAGGAGAUAUUGCACAAUUAAUGUUCAUGUCAAGUUUGAAAAAAAAAUUAUUCUUAAAGCAGCUAGGAAGAUAUUUGUAAAAUGACGCCUGAAAAACUUUCAUGUCUGCCGGACGUUAUAUGAGAAAUACUUGAGUGUUGUUAGUUUUCUAUUGCUGCAUAACGAAUUACCACAAAUCAGUGGCUUCAAAACACCUAUUCGUUUUCUCAGUCCUGUAGGUCAGAAGUCUGGACGUGGCAUAGUUGACGGUUUUGCUCAGUCACACAAGGUUGAAAUCAAAGGGUCUGCAAGUGGGAUCUCAUCUGAGGUUUGGGGUCCUUCUAAGCCCUCUGGCAGAAUUUCGUUGUGGUUGUUGGACUGAGGUCCCUUUUUGUCUCGCCAGCUGUUGGCCAGAGGCCAGCUGUGUGUCAGCUAGACCUUUUACAGGCCUUCUAACACUUCCCAUCUUCGUGGCUUUCGGGAGCCCCCAGCCCCUUUUAAAGGCUCACCUGAUUAAGUAAGACUCAGUCAGAUCUCCCUUUUGAUGAACCUAGUCCCAGAAGUGAUAUCUGCUCAUAUUUGUAGGUUCUACCCAAACUCCAGGGGAGGGGAUUAUGUAGAUGCGCUCUCUAGGGGCCAGGAAUGUGGGGAACUAGCUUAGAAUUCUGCCUGUACAGCGUUGUAUAUAUCAUGUUUCGAUUAGUUGGAAGAGUAAGGCAUGGGUGUGAUAGGUAACAGGUUGACUUGACCCAGUAAAAUUUUUUUCCUUAAAUCCUUUAAUCUCUGUGUGUGUAUAAAUCACAAUCUUUGAUAUGAAGAGCAAUGUCAGGGAAAGUGAGGAGUAAAGAAGCAAGGGAGUUGGAUAUCCUUCACCCCUUCCACUGGGAGCUUGGGUAGAGCUAGAAUUUUGGCGUCACGCUGGUAGACCAUGGUGCCCAUGUCUUUCCACAUAAAAACUCCCUCUCUUUCUAAGGAAUUUUAUGUUAAAACUCAGCACUUUAGGAAAGGUUUUCUUGAGUUUCAUGAUGAUGUGCUUUUUAAGUUACCUGAAGCUACACAUAAUUGUUAGUAUAACCUGGAAAUUCUAGAAAUUAAAAGGCUGGCACAAUUACGAUUUUUCUAUGUACAGAGGAAGUACUAAAUAUCUGUACUCUAUGAGGAGACAUAAGACAUGAGGUUUAGAAGGAAUGGUCUGUGUCUUUUGAGGAGUUUGUAGUCUACUUUGGUUUAAAUAUUUAUACUUUUUUUUUAAAGGAAAAUUGGAAGCUCAUGAGUUUGGCCUUAUCUGGUUUCUGCCUGCCUGGGAAGCCCCCUAUCAGAUUACUUUCCUCAUCUGUCUGCUUCUUUCAGUAACUUGGCCCUCCAAUGUUCUUUUCCACCUUAGUGCUUUCCAUAAUGUAUAUUCCUUCUCUACCUAGAAAUUUCAUUUUAUCUGCUCAGAUUCCUAAUUAUAUUCACACUCUUUCUUAACUUAAAUGUUACUUUGCUUAAAGACAUUUUCCUUGGCCCUUCAGACUGUAUAAGGACCUCUCUGAAGUAUUUUCAUAGCAUCUCAUAGUGCUAUUUCAGAGCAUUUAUUUUAUUGUAAAAAAUUGUGUAAUGGUUUGUGUUAUACCUGAUCUGUUUUCCUGUAUCAAAAAUAAAAUUAGGAUGAAUCUAAAAGUUUAUUGUCAUAGAAAAAGUACAGAUCAGAAUCCAGGAGACUUCAAAUCAAGUGGGAAGAGUGGUAAGAAGCUUGCACUCACCAGUAACAGCACAGCUUAUAAGGAUAAAGGAGGAAGCAUUUUGAGCUUUUCCAUUAUUGGUCCUUAUACAUUAAGAUUUUGUUGGGGGGUGGCAAACAGCUGUUUAAGUUGAUUUGUCUACAGUUGAUUGGCUUAAUUUCACGGAAUCAUACUAACAAAAAUGUAAAGCUUAUGUUUUAUAUUUAUGAUUAGAGCAUUUCAGGGAAAUCAGGAUGACUUAAGUUUUGGUUUAUGUGGUUAUGGGCAGUUGGUCUUGAUGUAUAUCUAAACUGUGACUUCCAUUUUUAUUUUAUUUUUUUUUAACACCUGUAAGAUCCAUGAUGGCAUUUAGUGGGUUCUCAACAAAUAUUUGUUGAAUGAAUGAAUAUUUGCUUAGGAAAGCUUUAUGUAAGAAUCCAAAACAUUUUCUAAUUGAAGAGUAGGUUGGAUGGAUGAAUGAGGUCACUUUUAGAGAACUGUGAAUACCUAUCUGUGUUGAUUGAAUUGGAGGUACCAGGGUUUUCUAGGUUCUUAGGAUUGACAUAAUUAAAGGGGCAUUUUUUUUUUCAAAUGUUAAUUCAGUAAUGGUUGUAGAAUGGAUUGUGUACAGGACAGUCUAGGUUAGUGGCCUCAAACUUGAUCAUGUAGAAGAAUUACCUGUGUGUUUUGUAAAUUCCUGGCUUUUAUUCCACCUUCCCCAGAACUGGUUCAGGCCACACUUAAGCACCUGAAGUAUGCUGAUCCAAAUUGUAACAUGCUGCAAGUGUAAAAUACCAGAUUUCAAAGACAUCUAAACUAAUGGAUAUAAAGUAUUAUGUUAAUAUGUUUUCUAAUUGAUUACAUCUUGAAAUAAUAUUUUACAUUCAUUGAAUUAAAUAAAAUGUAUUAUUAAAAUGAUUUCACUGGCUUCUUUUUAGUUUAUUUUCAGUGUGAUUACCAUGACAUUUAAAAUUAUGUAUGUGACUCGUAUAUUUUUAUUGGACAGUAUUUGUCUACAGUGUGGGGUAUAGAGAAUGACAUGUUUUAACAAGCAUUCCAAGUGAUUCUGAUGCAAGUUCUUAGACCAGUCUCUAAAAAACAAGAUACUGUGAUGGAUAUUUUAGCCUGCAGGGCUAGGAAGUUGAGUGUCUGAAAUAAAUGGAUGCCAGAGAG
rnacentral:lncRNA from 1 species